CCCUAAACAACAACAAUGCAUUCUCCCAACCUCCUCCUCCUCCUCCUCCUCCUCUUCUUCUUCACUGUUUCAUAUGCAGAACUUUGCCAUCCAAAUGACAAAAAGGUCCUCCUCAACAUCAAAAAAGCCUUCAACAAUCCCUACAUUCUUACCUCAUGGAAACCUGAAGAAGAUUGUUGCACUUGGUAUUGUGUUGAAUGUGAUCGGAAGUCCCAUCGGAUCAUUGCCCUCACCGUCUUUGCCGACGACAAACUCUCUGGCCCAAUCCCACCCUUUGUGGGUGACCUCCCGUUCCUCGAAAACCUCAUGUUCCACAAGCUCCCAAAUCUCAUUGGCCCCAUCCCACCUACCAUUGCAAAACUCAACAACCUCAAAUACCUUGACCUAAGCUGGAACGGUCUCUCUGGUCCUGUCCCCAGCUUCCUCGGCUCCCUUUCCAAUCUCGAUGUUCUCGACCUCUCCUUCAACCGUUUCACUGGCUCCAUCCCUAGCUCUCUUGCCAACCUCCGCCGCCUUGGAA
rnacentral:lncRNA from 1 species